rnacentral:rRNA from 1 species
UGGGGGAUAUUGCACAAUGGGCGAAAGCCUGAUGCAGCGACGCCGCGUGGGGGAUGAAGGCCUUCGGGUUGUAAACUUCUUUUGCUCUGAACAAGGCAUGCUAAUGGGUGUGUUGAGUGUAGGGGUUGAUUAGCGCCGGCUAACUACGUGCCAGCAGCCGCGGUAAUACGUAGGGCGCGAGCGUUGUCCGGAAUUAUUGGGCGUAAAGGGCUUGUAGGUGGCUGGUUGCGUCUGUCGUGAAAGCCCAUGGCUUAACUGUGGGUUUGCGGUGGGUACGGGCUGGCUUGAGUGCAGUAGGGGAGGCUGGAAUUCCUGGUGUAGCGGUGGAAUGCGCAGAUAUCAGGAGGAAUACCGGUGGCGAAGGCGGGUCUCUGGGCUGUUACUGACACUGAGGAGCGAAAGCAUGGGGAGCGAACAGG